AGUGCAAUUUCUGGGUCACAUGCUAAAUAUGACAGUUUUCUAAGAAACUGUCAAGCUAUUUUCCAGAAUAGUUGUACCAUUUUAUGUUCUGUCAGGCAAU
rnacentral:pre_miRNA from 1 species